rnacentral:rRNA from 1 species
CAAUAGCGUAUAUUUAAGUUGUUGCAGUUAAAAAGCUCGUAGUUGGAUUUCGGGCGGGUGACGGCGGUCCGCCUCUGGUGUGCACUGCCGGCAUCCGCCUUUCUGUCGGGGACGGGCUCCUGGGCUUCAUUGCUUGGGACUCGGGUUCGACGUGGUUACUUUGAGUAAAUUAGAGUGUUCAAAGCAGGCGAUCGCCCUGAAUACAUUAGCAUGGAAUAGCACGAUAGGACUCUGGCCUAUUUUGCUGGUCUGUAGGACCGGAGUAAUGAUUAAGAGGGACAGUCGGGGGCAUUCGUAUUUCAUUGUCAGAGGUGAAAUUCUUGGAUUUAUGAAAGACGAACUUCUGCGAAAGCAUUUGCCAAGGAUGUUUUCAUUGG